CACGUAGGGCGCGAGCGUUGUCCGGAAUUAUUGGGCGUAAAGAGCUCGUAGGCGGCCUGUUGCGUCCGCUGUGAAAGCCCGGGGCUUAACCCCGGGUCGGCAGUGGAUACGGGGCAGGCUAGAGGUAGGUAGGGGAGAAUGGAAUUCCCGGUGUAGCGGUGAAAUGCGCAGAUAUCGGGAGGAACACCGGUGGCGAAGGCGGUUCUCUGGGCCUUACCUGACGCUGAGGAGCGAAAGCGUGGGGAGCGAACAGG
rnacentral:rRNA from 1 species